rnacentral:snRNA from 1 species
GGAUACAAGGGUGAUCUGGCUGUAACAUCUGUCACCCCGCUGAUCGCCAGGGUUGAUGUGACUGAUCCGGCUGGUAGCUAGGCCAGUGUCCCCUUCCUCCUUGCUUGGACAGUGAGGACAGCCUUCCCAGCAAAGGAGGGGCAUCCUCAGUCAAAGGCCUAUGAGUAGCUGGGCUCCCCUCCUGGAACCGAAAACAAAUUCUCAAAAUAAAUAUAUAAAAACAGGGCUGGGCAUGGAGUAUGAAGGCCCU